rnacentral:misc_RNA from 1 species
AAAAAAAAAAAAAAUCUAGCUUCAUUCUGACAUGGCCCACACAUGAGAAGUCAGACAACCUUGAGCAAGAUACUGCUUACCAGGCUUUUGUGCAGUGGUCAAUUGGGGGAUUGCCACUGAGAAGAGGGCAUCCUAGUACCUUUUCACUUUAAUGGCAUACUGAGGAUAGUGCACAAGUAGCAUAACUUGAUAAACAUACCUAUACAGCGGAUAUGAAUCUAAUAUGAAAUCCCUCAUUGAACUUCAAAUUAGCUUGUGUGCAAAUGAAACAAUAUAAAACUAUUUGUAACUUGCUUGUUACAGCUCUUGG